rnacentral:rRNA from 1 species
AACGAACGCUGGCGGCAGGCUUAACACAUGCAAGUCGAACGCAUCCUUCGGGGUGGGUGGCAGACGGGUGAGUAACGCGUGGGAACGUGCCCUUCAGUUCGGGAUAACCCAGGGAAACUUGGGCUAAUACCGGAUACGUGCGAGAGCAGAAAGAUUUAUCGCUGAAGGAUCGGCCCGCGUCUGAUUGGCUAGCUGGUGGGGUAAUGGCCCACCAAGGCGACGAUCAGUAGCUGGUCUGAGAGGAUGAUCAGCCACAUUGGGACUGAGACACGGCCCAAACUCCUACGGGAGGCAGCAGUGGGGAAUAUUGGACAAUGGGCGAAAGCCUGAUCCAGCCAUGCCGCGUGAGUGAUGAAGGCCUUAGGGUUGUAAAGCUCUUUCGUCCGGGACGAUAAUGACGGUACCGGAAGAAGAAGCCCCGGCUAACUACGUGCCAGCAGCCGCUGUAA